rnacentral:rRNA from 1 species
UGGGGAAUAUUGGACAAUGGGCGCAAGCCUGAUCCAGCCAUGCCGCGUGUGUGAAGAAGGCCUUCGGGUUGUAAAGCACUUUUGUUGGGGAAGAAAAGACACCGGUUAAUACCCGGGGUUUCUGACGGUACCCAAAGAAUAAGCACCGGCUAACUUCGUGCCAGCAGCCGCGGUAAUACGAAGGGUGCAAGCGUUACUCGGAAUUACUGGGCGUAAAGCGUGCGUAGGUGGUUCGUUAAGUCAGAUGUGAAAGCCCCGGGCUCAACCUGGGAAUUGCAUUUGAUACUGGCGGGCUAGAGUGCGGUAGAGGAGAGUGGAAUUCCCGGUGUAGCAGUGAAAUGCGUAGAGAUCGGGAGGAACAUCAGUUGCGAAGGCGGCUCUCUGGACCAGCACUGACACUGAGGCACGAAAGCGUGGGGAGCAAACAGGAUUAGAUACCCUGGUAGUCCACGCCCUAAACGAUGCGAACUGGACGUUGGGAGCAAUCAGGCUCUCAGUGUCGAAGCUAACGCGUUAAGUUCGCCGCCUGGGGAGUACGGUCGCAAGACUGA